UACGGGGGGGGCAAGCGUUGUUCGGAAUUACUGGGCGUAAAGGCUCGUAGGCGGCCAACUAAGUCAUACGUGAAAUCCCUCGGCUUAACCGGGGAACUGCGUCUGAUACUGGAUGGCUCGAGUUCGGGAGAGGGAUGCGGAAUUCCAGGUGUAGCGGUGAAAUGCGUAGAUAUCGGGAGGAACACCUGUGGCGAAAGCGGCUCACUGGACCACAACUGACGCUGAGGCGCGAAAAGCUAGGGGAGCAAACAGG
rnacentral:rRNA from 1 species